rnacentral:rRNA from 1 species
AACCGGGUGAACUGAAACAUCUAAGUAAUCCGAGGAAAAGAAAGUAACAACGAUACCCUAAGUAGCGGCGAGCGAACGGGGUAGAGCCUAAACCGUAUUCAUGUCAAGGAUGCAGCCGUUGUGGAUACGGGGUAGCGGGAAAGAGAGAGAAAGAACUGCAAGCUAUUUCGCAGACGUAAGCAAAGGAACAAGAAAGAUCUGGAAAGGUCUACCGUAGAAGGUGAAAGUCCUGUAUUGGUAGUUUUCUUGCGCUGUAUCUCUUCUCCCAAGUAAUGUGGAACACGAGGAAUUCUGCAUGAAUCUGCGAGGACCAAAUCUCGUAAGGCUAAAUACUCUUUCUAACCGAUAGCGCAUAGUACCGUGAGGGAAAGGUGAAAAGAACCCCGGGAGGGGAGUGAAAGAGAACCUGAAAUUGUGUGCUUACAAGCGGUCAGAGCCACUUCGGUGGUGAUGGCGUGCCUUUUGGAGAAUGAUCCUGCGAGUUACGUUUCAUGGCGAGGUUAAGAAGAACGGAGCCGAAGGGAAACCGAGUCUGAAUAGGGCGCAAGAGUCGUGGAGCGUAGACGCGAAACCCGGUGAUCUAAGCCUGUCCAGGAUGAAGCUGUGGUAAGACACAGUGGAGGUCCUAACCCACCGCCGUUGAAAAGUUGGGGGAUGAGGUAGGUUUAGGGGUGAAAAGCCAAUCGAACCGGGAGAUAGCUCGUUCUCUCCGAAAUGCAUCUAGGUGCAGCCUUGCGUGUUUAAUGAUGGGGGUAGAGCACUGACUGAACUAGGGGGCAUAUAGCUUACUGAAUUCAAUCAAACUCCGAAUACCAUUAUUCAAGAGCGCAGGAGUGAGACCAUGGGAGUUAACUUCCAUCGUCGAAAGGGAAACAACCCAGACCACC